ensembl:miRNA
UUGAAAUGCAGAGUCUGAUCCAGUAAGUCUAGAAUCCUGCCUCAGAUUCUGGAUUCCUACC